AGACACCUGAAGUACAAGAAAGCACAUUUUAAAAUGUAUUGCACAUGUCAGGUUUUCCAACAGGUAAGCUGGAAUGUGGAUCAAUUACAAAAAAAAAAAAAAAAAAAAAAAAAGGUGUCUAGGAAACUGUGAGUGAACACAUAUUUGAAACUACAUUGAGUUCUGUUCACAAAAGGAAGACUUAAUAUUUCUUUUAUGUAUUCCUCUUUGGCAAGCAUUAAGAUAAUCAACCAACUGCUAAGCAAUCUUAAUCUUCAGUUUACUGAGGAUCUGUGUUUUUUCCAUUCUGCCUUUUGGACAGUUUCUAAGCAUAAAUAAGAAGUGACUAUCCAGAUAAGAUAUACCAAGUUGCAUGAAAGAAACUUGCAAAUCAAUGUAUUUUUUGUUGUUUAUUUAUCUACUGUGAAGCAUCUGCUCUGCAGCAUGUUUCCUUGCUCAAAAUUAAGAGCUCUUCCAGAAGUGUGAUCCAUUUAUCAUUGCUAAUGUAGAGGUUUUGACAUGGAAGUUAUUAGAAGCAAUUACAGCAUUUGGGGUUGUUCUGCGCAGUGUGGGCUGUAAAAUUUCCCAUCACUUCUAGAGUAAAUCUGCUCAAUUGUGACAAAAUGACAACAGUUAUUGCAUAAAGGUUCACUGCCUCAAUUAGGGAUUCCAAGAAGUGAAGGCUGCCCACUAUCCCAUGAAAUCAUUCCUGCAGUGGAUUAUGUUCAAUGCUGUGUGCAUAGCGUCAGUCAGAUAUGAGCACCAGGCACGUGUCUGCCAGCACAGAUCCACCUGGGAGGAAGCUAUCACAGACAGAAUAGGUAUCAUAGAAUCAUAGAAAACCCUGACUUGGAAGGACCCACACGGAUCAUUGAAGUCCAGCUACUGAAUUUAAAGUGGAUUUGGAGUGGCACUGUUUUCCCCGGAAGACAGAUACUGCUCUAGAGCUCCCCUUUAUGAAACCAUGCCUCGAGGGUGGCCUGGAACCACAGCACUGGGAUAUGGUACACACCCUGAGCCUGCCUGUUCAUGAGAUUCCAGAGGGGAUGAACACCCCCAGCUCUCUGCAGAGUGGCUGUAAGGAAUUCUUCCAUGUUCCCCCUUAACUCCUUUCCACGUUGAUUCUGGCCCUGAGAUAGAGAAGCUCCAGGUGGUAUUUGCUUAUUCAGAUUAGCAGAUGAUAUGCAGACAAAACAUGCCGCAGUAAUAGGAUUUAUCUACAAGAGCCUUUGGAAGGAGCUCAUUAAAAAAAGAACAAAUAUUGCUUAAUAUUAAACAGCUUCCAUGUUUUUCUCCAACAUAGAUAUUUGAGUGGGCAUGGGACCAGUUCUGCUGUAUCUCAGUUGUGAAUGGAGGGGGAUGAGGACUUUGACCAGAUAGGAUUUAGGCCUCUCAUUCAAUCCAAAUCCAUCAUUUCUGCUGAGCUCAAGAAAAUGUGAAUCUCCCUAUAUAGCUUCUCUGUCUUCCUGCCAAUGUUUUAGUGACCUGCUGCUGUAGACCAGUGAGCUCAGACACCUGAAGAGGGAAAAAAGGAAGGAGUAAAUACAAAGCUGGAG